GGCGCAUUCGUAUAUCGGCUAGUACUCAAGAUUUUCAUUCUUGCAAGAGGGGUUCGACUCCCCUAUGCGCUA
rnacentral:tRNA from 2 species